UACGUAGGGGGCUAGCGUUGUCCGGAAUCAUUGGGCGUAAAGAGCGUGUAGGCGGCUUGGUAAGUCCGCUGUGAAAGUCCAGGGCUCAACCCUGGAAUGCCAGUGGAUACUGUCAAGCUAGAGUCCGGAAGAGGCGAGUGGAAUUCCUGGUGUAGCGGUGAAAUGCGCAGAUAUCAGGAGGAACGCCAAUGGCGAAGGCAGCUCGCUGGGACGGUACUGACGCUGAGACGCGAAAGCGUGGGGAGCAAACAGG
rnacentral:rRNA from 1 species